UGUGUGUGUGAGCUACCAGAGAAAGAAAAGAACGGGGGAAAACACCAAAAACCCUCAUUCACUAAAUUGAUCAAAUUGGAGGAUGGAUUGAGUCCAAAUCAUAUGCAUGAACUUGAAAUUCUGAUUAUCUAAACCUAAUAAACACAAGUUUAGAUGUUUUGAUGAUUGUAGAGGUGAAACACAAGUGAAGCAUCGGGACGUCAAGCUUGACUAGACGCGCGAUUGAAAGAAAAGUUAUAAGGUUCCUGAAUUAGUUGGCUUUCUCCAAGAUAAUGAAGAAGCUUUGUGUUUUGGGGUUUUCGUCUACUGUGAAAUCUUGGUAACAAAUGACGAAAAUCAGGCCUUUUUACAGCAAAUAAGAACAAAAUUGUCAACUGGGUAUUGCUGAUUUCGAAACAGGGAUGUGAAACUGUAAAGGCGUGGUGGGUCUCAAUCGUUGGGGGUGUUGAUUACGGUGGCUGGUGGUGGGUGUUGAGAGGAGGUAAAGGGAGAAGGGAUGAGAGAGAUAUUUCUUUUUUGUUAUUUAUAAUAAAAUAUAUAGUUUUU
rnacentral:lncRNA from 1 species